CGGAGGAUCCAAGCGUUAUCCGGAAUCAUUGGGUUUAAAGGGUCCGUAGGCGGUCUUAUAAGUCAGUGGUGAAAUCCGGCAGCUCAACUGUCGAACUGCCAUUGAUACUGUAAGACUUGAAUUACUGUGAAGUAACUAGAAUAUGUAGUGUAGCGGUGAAAUGCUUAGAUAUUACAUGGAAUACCAAUUGCGAAGGCAGGUUACUAACAUUAUAUUGACGCUGAUGGACGAAAGCGUGGGUAGCGAACAGGAUUAGAUACCCUGGUAGUCCACGCCGUAAACGAUGGAUACUAGCUGUUCGGAUGCAAAUCUGAGUGGCUAAGCGAAAGUGAUAAGUAUCCCACCUGGGGAGUACGAACGCAAGUUUG
rnacentral:rRNA from 1 species